GCAAGUCGAGCGCCACGCAAGAGGAGCGGCAGACGGGUGAGUAACGCGUGGGAAUCUGCCCUUCACUACGGAACAACUGUUGGAAACGACAGCUAAUACCGUAUACGCCCUUCGGGGGAAAGAUUUAUCGGAGAUGGAUGGGCCCGCGUUGGAUUAGCUAGUUGGUGGGGUAAAGGCCUACCAAGGCGACGAUCCAUAGCUGGUCUGAGAGGAUGAUC
rnacentral:rRNA from 1 species